rnacentral:rRNA from 1 species
CAAGCGAGCGGCGGACGGGUGAGUAACACGUGGGUAACCUGCCCAAGAGACUGGGAUAACACCUGGAAACAGAUGCUAAUACCGGAUAACAACACUAGACGCAUGUCUAGAGUUUGAAAGAUGGUUCUGCUAUCACUCUUGGAUGGACCUGCGGUGCAUUAGCUAGUUGGUAAGGUAACGGCUUACCAAGGCAAUGAUGCAUAGCCGAGUUGAGAGACUGAUCGGCCACAUUGGGACUGAGACACGGCCCAAACUCCUACGGGAGGCAGCAGUAGGGAAUCUUCCACAAUGGACGAAAGUCUGAUGGAGCAACGCCGCGUGAGUGAAGAAGGGUUUCGGCUCGUAAAGCUCUGUUGGUAGUGAAGAAAGAUAGAGGUAGUAACUGGCCUUUAUUUGACGGUAAUUACUUAGAAAGUCACGGCUAACUACGUGCCAGCAGCCGCGGUAAUACGUAGGUGGCAAGCGUUGUCCGGAUUUAUUGGGCGUAAAGCGAGUGCAGGCGGUUCAAUAAGUCUGAUGUGAAAGCCUUCG